UACGUAGGGUGCAAGCGUUGCCCGGAUUAUUGGGCGUAAAGGGCGCGUAGGCGGUCACGCACGUCCGUUGUGAAAUCGCUCGGCUCAACUGGGCGGGGUCAGCGGAUACGGUGUGGCUGGAGCAAGCUAGGGGGCAAUGGAAUUCCCGGUGUAGUGGUGGAAUGCGUAGAUAUCGGGGAGGAACACCAGUGGCGAAGGCGGUUGCCUGGAGCUUUGCUGACGCUGAUGCGCGAAAGCGUGGGGAGCGAUCCGG
rnacentral:rRNA from 1 species